rnacentral:rRNA from 1 species
AUUGAACGCUGGCGGCAGGCCUAACACAUGCAAGUAGAGCGAGCGGCGGACGGGUGAGUAAUGCCUAGGAAUCUGCCUGGUAGUGGGGGAUAACGUACGGAAACGGGAGCUAAUACCGCAUACCAUCGGAUGUGCAAAGAUGGGAUUAGCUAGUAGGUGGGGUGAAGGCUCACCUAGGCGACGAUCCCUAGCUGGUCUGAGAGGAUGACCAGCCACACUGGAACUGAGAUACGUUCCAUACUCCUACGUGAGUCAGCAUGGGGUAAUAGUGCACACUGGGCGCAAGCCUGAUGCAGCCAUGCCGCGUGUAUGAAGAAGGCCUUCGGGUUUUAAUGUACUUUCAGCGGGGAGGCGUUACCCGCAGAAGAAGCACCGGCUAACUCCGUGCCAGCCGCCGCGGUAAUAC